AGGUAGCGAAAUUCCUUGUCGGGUAAGUUCCGACCCGCACGAAAGGCGUAACGAUUUGGGCACUGUCUCAACGAGAGACUCGGUGAAAUCAUAGUACCUGUGAAGAUGCAGGUUACCCGCGACAGGACGGAAAGACCCCGUGGAGCUUUACUGUAGCCUGAUAUUGAAAUUCGGCACAGCUUGUACAGGAUAGGUAGGAGCCAUUGAAACGUGAGCGCUAGCUUACGUGGAGGCGUUGGUGGGAUACUACCCUAGCUGUGUUGGCUUUCUAACCCGCACCACUUAUCGUGGUGGGAGACAGUGUCAGGCGGGCAGUUUGACUGGGGCGGUCGCCUCCUAAAAGGUAACGGAGGCGCUCAAAGGUUCCCUCAGAAUGGUUGGAAAUCAUUCACAGAGUGUAAAGGCAUAAGGGAGCUUGACUGCGAGACCUACAAGUCGAGCAGGGUCGAAAGACGGACUUAGUGAUCCGGUGGUUCCGCAUGGAAGGGCCAUCGCUCAACGGAUAAAAGCUACCCCGGGGAUAACAGGCUUAUCUCCCCCAAGAGUUCACAUCGACGGGGAGGUUUGGCACCUCGAUGUCGGCUCAUCGCAUCCUGGGGCUGUAGUCGGUCCCAAGGGUUGGGCUGUUCGCCCAUUAAAGCGGUACGCGAGCUGGGUUCAGAACGUCGUGAGACAGUUCGGUCCCUAUCCGUCGCGGGCGUAGGAAAUUUGAGAGGAGCUGUCCUUAGUACGAGAGGACCGGGAUGGACAUACCUCUGGUGUACCAGUUGUCGUGCCAACGGCAUAGCUGGGUAGCUAUGUAUGGACGGGAUAAGUGCUGAAAGCAUCUAAGCAUGAAGCCCCCCUCAAGAUGAGAUUUCCCAACUUCGGUUAUAAGAUCCCUCGAAGAUGACGAGGUUAAUAGGUUCGAGGUGGAAGCGUGGCGACACGUGGAGCUGACGAAUACUAAUCGAUCGAAGACUUAAUCAAUUU
rnacentral:rRNA from 2 species